AUUUUAGACAAUGGGGGAAACCCUGAUCCAGCCAUCCCGCGCGUAUGAUGAAGGCCCNNNGUUUGNACAGUACUUUUGGCUGANAAGNAAAGGUACCUCCUACUACGUGGUACUGCUGACGGUAUCUGCAGAAUAAGCCCCGGCCAACUACGUACCAGUAGCCGCGGUAAUACGUAGGGUGCAAGCGUUAAUCGGAAUUACUGGGCGUAAAGCGUGUGUAGGCGGUUCGGAAAGAAAGAUGUGAAAUCCCAGGGCUCAACCUUGGAACUGCAUUUUUAACUGCCGGGCUAGAGUAUGUCAGAGGGGGGUAGAAUUCCACGUGUAGCAGUGAAAUGCGUAGAUAUGUGGAGGAAUACCGAUGGCGAAGGCAGCCCCCUGGGAUAAUACUGACGCUCAGACACGAAAGCGUGGGGAGCAAAC
rnacentral:rRNA from 1 species